rnacentral:misc_RNA from 1 species
GAUGAAGAACGUAGCGAAAUGCGAUAAGUAAUGUGAAUUGCAGAAUUCAGUGAAUCAUCGAAUCUUUGAACGCACCUUGCGCUCUUUGGUAUUCCGAAGAGCAUGCCUGUUUGAGUGUCAUGAAAAUAUCAACCUUGACUUGGGUUUUGUGCUCUAGUCUCGGCUUGGAAUUGGGUUCUUGCCGCUUUUACGAGCGGCUCACCUUAAAUGUAUUAGCUGGAUCUGUCUUUGAGACUUGGUUUGACUUGGCGUAAUAAGUAUUUCGCUAAGGACAUUCUUCGGAGUGGCCUCGUUUCUAGGACGCUUGUCCGCUUUCCAAUACAAGUUCCACCUCGUGGACAUGACUUUUUAUUAUCUGGCCUCAAAUCAGGUAGGACUACCCGCUGAACUUAAGCAUAUCAAUAAGCGGAGGA